UACGUAGGGGGGCUAGCGUUGUCCGGAAUCAUUGGGCGUAAAGCGCGUGUAGGCGGUCCGGUAAGUCCGCUGUGAAAGUCGGGGGCUCAACCCUCGGAUGCCGGUGGAUACUGUCGGGCUUGAGUACGGAAGAGGAGUGUGGAAUUCCUGGUGUAGCGGUGAAAUGCGCAGAUAUCAGGAGGAACACCAAUGGCGAAGGCAGCACUCUGGGACGUGACUGACGCUGAGACGCGAAAGCGUGGGGAGCAAACAGG
rnacentral:rRNA from 1 species